GCGUUAUCCGGAUUCACUGGGUUUAAAGGGUGCGUAGGUGGGAAUGUAAGUCAGUGGUGAAAUCUUUGAGCUUAACUCAGAAACUGCCAUUGAUACUAUGUUUCUUGAAUUUUCCGGAGGUCAGCGGAAUAUGUCAUGUAGCGGUGAAAUGCUUAGAUAUGACAUAGAACACCAAUUGCGAAGGCAGCUGACUACAGGGAUAUUGACACUGAGGCACGAAAGCGUG
rnacentral:rRNA from 1 species